rnacentral:rRNA from 1 species
AUACGUAGGGUGCAAGCGUUAAUCGGAAUUACUGGGCGUAAAGCGUGCGCAGGCGGUUUUGUAAGACAGAGGGGAAAUCCCCGGGCUCAACCUGGGAACUGCCUUUGUGACCGGAAGGCUAGAGUACGGCAGAGGGGGAUGGGAUUCCGCGUGUAGCAGGGGAAUGCGUAGAUAUGCGGAGGAACACCGAUGGCGAAGGCAAUCCCCUGGGCCUGUACUGACGCUCAUGCACGAAAGCGUGGGGAGCAAACAGGAUUAGAUACCCUGGUAGUCCACGCCCUAAACGAUGUCAACUGGUUGUUGGGUCUUAACUGACUCAGUAACGAAGCUAACGCGUGAAGUUGACCGCCUGGGGAGUACGGCCGCAAGGUUGAAACUCAAAUGAAUUGACGGGG